GUUAAGUUCAAUGUAGCAAUCUCCGCUUAGAAGUAAUGCAUAGGAAUGGACACUCCCAAUCCUCUACAGUCCUGUAGCAGAUCAAAAUAAUUAUAAUUAAAUGAUUCUUCAAAACAUUUUUUGAGAUAUGAGUCGUUUUCCCAGAAAUAGAUUUGGUUAUCAUAUUGGUUCAUAUUUUAUAUAUAUUCCUGUGAAAGGGCUAAUAUGAUGAUGCAUGUACUGAGGUACAGAGAUUUUGACCAUCUGUACUUUUCAACUACAGCGGUCACAUAGAUCAGUGCAACCCCAUAGAAUCAGUAAAGUUAGUAAGUGGAAAAGAUCCUUUAGGACAUCAUGAUUGCUAUUUCCAAAACUUAAAGGCAAACGUAGAAGAUUCUCAUCAAA
rnacentral:lncRNA from 1 species